GAUGAACGCUGGCGGCGUGCCUAAUACAUGCAAGUCGAGCGAACAGACCAGGAGCUUGCUCCUCUGACGUUAGCGGCGGACGGGUGAGUAACACGUGUAUAACCUACCUAUAAUACUGGGAUAACUUCGGGAAACCGGAGCUAAUACCGGAUAAUAUAUUGAACCGCAUGGUUCAAUAGUGAAAGACGGUUUUGCUGUCACUUAUAGAUGGAUCCGCGCCGCAUUAGCUAGUUGGUAAGGUAACGGCUUACCACGGCAACGAUGCGUAGCCGACGUGAGAGGGUGAUCGGCCACAUUAGAACUGAAACACGCUCCAGACUACUACGGGAGGCAGCAGUAUGCAAUCUGACGCAAUAGGCGAGAGCUUGACAGAGCAACGCGACGUCAGUGAUGAAGAUCUUCGGAGCGUAAAACUCUGUUAUUGGGGAAAAACAGAUGUCUAAGUAACUAUGCACGUCGUGACGGUACCUAAUCAGAAAGCCACGGCUAACUACGUG
rnacentral:rRNA from 1 species